rnacentral:rRNA from 1 species
UCCACGCUGUAAACGAUGUCGAUUUGGAGUUUGUUGCCUAGAGUGAUGGGCUCCGAAGCUAACGCGAUAAAUCGACCGCUGGGGAGUACGGCCGCAAGGUUAAAACUCAAAUGAAUUGACGGGGGCCCGCACAAGCGGUGGAGCAUGUGGUUUAAUUCGAUGCAACGCGAAGAACCUUACCUGGUCUUGACAUCCAUAGAAUUCUGCAGAGAUGUGGGAGUGCCUUCGGGAACUAUGAGACAGGUGCUGCAUGGCUGUCGUCAGCUCGUGUUGUGAAAUGUUGGGUUAAGUCCCGCAACGAGCGCAACCCUUAUUCUUUAUUGCCAGCGAUUUAGUCGGGAACUCAAAGGAGACUGCCGUUGAUAAAGCGGAGGAGGGUGGGGACGACGUCAAGUCAUCAUGGCCCUUACGACCAGGGCUACACACGUGCUACAAUGGCGUAUACAAAGGGAAGCGAAGGUGCGAGCUGGAGCGGAUCUCAUAAAGUACGUCUAAGUUCGGAUUGGAGUCUGCAACUCGACUCCAUGAAGUCGGAAUCGCUAGUAAUCGUAGAUCAGAAUGCUACGGUGAAUACGUUCCCGGGCCUUGUACACACCGCCCGUCACACCAUGGGAGUGGGUUGCACCAGAAGUAGAUAGCUUAACCGCGAGGGGGGCGUUUACCACGGUGUGAUUCAUGACUGGGGUGAAGUCGUAACAAGGUAACCA